rnacentral:miRNA from 1 species
AAAGUUUGUUCGGGUUUUUGUAACAUGAAAAACCCGAACGAACUUUUUGGCCAACUCAA